rnacentral:piRNA from 1 species
UGCUCAGAGACCGAAGAGAUUGAAUGGC